ensembl:misc_RNA RN7SL814P RNA, 7SL, cytoplasmic 814, pseudogene
GCCAGAUGUGAUAGCAUGUGCCUGUAAUCCCAGCUAUUCAGGAGGCUAAGGCAGGAGGAUCGCUUGAGCCCUAGAGUUCUGGGCUGUAGUGCACUAUGUGGAUCGGCUGUCCGCACUCAGUUUGGCAUCAAUAUGGUGACCUCCUGGGAGCAAGGGACCACGAGGUUGCCUAAAGAUGGGUGAACUGGUCACGGUCGAAAAUGGAGCAGGUCAAAACUUCUAUGCUGAUCAGUAACAGGAUUGUGCCUAUGAAUAACCACUGCACUCAAGCCUGGGCAACAUAGCGAGACUCUGGUCUCU